UACAGAGGUCUCAAGCGUUGUUCGGAUUCAUUGGGCGUAAAGGGUGCGUAGGUGGCGCGCUAAGUCAGGUGUGAAAUCUCGGAGCUUAACUCCGAAACUGCAUUUGAUACUGGCGUGCUUGAGGACUGGAGAGGAGACUGGAAUUCACGGUGUAGCAGUGAAAUGCGUAGAUAUCGUGAGGAACACCAGUUGCGAAGGCGGCUCAUUGGCCCAUAACUGACGCUGAGGCACGAAAGCGUGGGGAGCAAACAGG
rnacentral:rRNA from 1 species